CCGUACUCCCCAGGCGGCUAGCUUAACGGCUUCCCUGCGACACUUCAUUCGCGACUUGCGAAUGAAUCAUCUAGCUAGCAUCGUUUACGGCUGGGACCACCCGGGUAUCUAAUCCGGUUCGCUCCCCCAGCUUUCAUCCCUCACCGUCGAGCGCGUUCUGGCGGACCGCCUUCGCCACUGGUGGUCUUCCGCGGAUCAAAGGAUUUUACCCCUACACGCGGAGUACCGUCCGCCUCUCCCGCCUCCUAGUCCCGCGGUAUCCUCUGCAGGUCACCCGUUGAGCGGGUGGAUUUAACAGAGGACCUACGGAACCGGCUACGGAUGCUUUA
rnacentral:rRNA from 1 species